AGUGAACGCUGGCGGUAGGCCUAACACAUGCAAGUCGAACGGCAGCACAGUAAGAGCUUGCUCUUACGGGUGGCGAGUGGCGGACGGGUGAGGAAUACAUCGGAAUCUACUUUUUCGUGGGGGAUAACGUAGGGAAACUUACGCUAAUACCGCAUACGACCUACGGGUGAAAGCAGGGGAUCUUCGGACCUUGCGCGAUUGAAUGAGCCGAUGUCGGAUUAGCUAGUUGGUGGGGUAAAGGCCCACCAAGGCGACGAUCCGUAGCUGGUCUGAGAGGAUGAUCAGCCACACUGGAACUGAGACACGGUCCAGACUCCUACGGGAGGCAGCAGUGGGGAAUAUUGGACAAUGGGCGCAAGCCUGGUCCAGCCAUACCGCGUGGGUGAAGAAGGCCUUCGGGUUGUAAAGCCCUUUUGUUGGGAAAGAAAAGCAGCAGGUUAAUACCCCGCUGUUCUGACGGUACCCAAAGAAUAAGCACCGGCUAACUUCGUG
rnacentral:rRNA from 1 species